AUGCACGCUGGCGGCGUGCCUCAUACAUGCAAGUCGCGCGCACAGACGAGGAGCUUGCUCCUUCGACGUUAGCGGCGGACGGGUGAGUAACACGUAGGUAACCUACCUAUAAGACUGGGAUAACUUCGGGAAACCGGAGCUAAUACCGGAUAAUAUUUCGAACCGCAUGGUUCGAUAGUGAAAGAUGGCUUUGCUAUCACUUAUAGAUGGACCUGCGCCGUAUUAGCUAGUUGGUAAGGUAACGGCUUACCAAGGCAACGAUACGUAGCCGACCUGAGAGGGUGAUCGGCCACACUGGAACUGAGACACGGUCCAGACUCCUACGGGAGGCAGCAGUAGGGAAUCUUCCGCAAUGGGCGAAAGCCUGACGGAGCAACGCCGCGUGAGUGAUGAAGGUCUUCGGAUCGUAAAACUCUGUUAUUAGGGAAGAACAAACGUGUAAGUAACUGUGCACGUCUUGACGGUACCUAAUCAGAAAGCCACGGCUAACUACGUG
rnacentral:rRNA from 1 species